rnacentral:lncRNA from 1 species
GAACAAUGAAAUGACAUGCGUUUGGAGAAUGUGUGGCGGAUACAAGAGCAUAUUAAUGUUAAACUCCAAAAAUAUUUUUAUCUCAAAGAUUGAAAACAAGAUAAAGAUGAAGGACUCUACAAAAUAGUAUUAUAUAUUUUCUUGAAAAACAUUUAUUGAGUGGUGUCUUUCAGUUGGACUCUUGUGUUAGUAGCUUGUCAUACAGAGCUUCAAGAAGUCAAGCUUCAGGCCAUAGUCACAAAGAGUUCAGCUCUGAUUUGGAGAGAUAAAUAAGUACAAACGAAAGUAAAAUCUCAUUUAAAAGAUUGAUUUUAAAAGCUUCCUCAAAGUUUUG